rnacentral:rRNA from 1 species
GACGAACGCUGGCGGCGUGCUUAACACAUGCAAGUCGAACGGAAAGGCCCUGCUUUUGUGGGGUGCUCGAGUGGCGAACGGGUGAGUAACACGUGAGUAGCCUGCCCUUGACUUUGGGAUAACUUCAGGAAACUGGGGCUAAUACCGGAUAGGAGCUCCUGCUGCAUGGUGGGGGUUGGAAAGUUUCGGCGGGUGGGGAUGGACUCGCGGCUUAUCAGCUUGCUUGUGGGGUAGUGGCUUACCAAGGCUUUGACGGGUAGCCGGCCUGGGAGGGUGACCGGCCACAUUGGGUCUGAGAUACGGCCCGGACUCGUCCGGGAGGCAGCAGUGGGGAAGAUUGCACAAUGGGCGGAAGCCUGAUGCAGCAACGCCGCGUGCGGGAUGACGGCCUUCGGGUUGGAAACCGCUUUCGCCUGUGACGAAGCGUGAGUGACGGUAAUGGGUAAAGAAGCACCGGCUAACUACGUG